UCUUCUCACCUACUCCACACUAUCAACACGUAUUCAUUUUCUUCUUUCUCUAGUCUUCUGGUCUUUUCGGAGCUCCCAGCCAUGGAAAGGAGCAAAAGGCUGAGCCAGAUUAGAUCCACUCCAUCUCAAGACAAGCCCGAGUCUCCCCUCGGUUUGCUACUUUGUGGUCCUCACCUCCACACGCACCUCGUGGCUGGGAUGAUGCUUGGAUCCCGGCCGGUGAACACGUAGCAGGGCCCUAAUAGCAGCUGCGUGAUGGAGAACGCGAGGUCGUCGAACUCGACGAUGCCUUUCCCGUCAGCGUCCAUGGAGGCGAUGGAGUGGAUCUCGUUCCCUUAGCUCCUGCGCAAUUUUGGGGAUCCUGGGAGGGUUAUCCGUCCCCAACCGUCGAGCUGCAGGCGUCGUUGCUGUUCCCAAGCGAGGCACCUGACGCAUCUUCUUCAUCCUCUACAGUAGCAGCCCGGCUUUGGCGUUGCAUUCUUCCACCUGCAAUAUACUUUAAGUGUACUAUUUUUUCAGGUAUUUAUGGAUAUAUAAAAGGCUGGUAGCAUCCGUCUAGUUCACGGCGAUGGACAUGGCCUCUGCACCGGCGAACAUUCAAGCCAAUACCCAUCUAGUUCGUAUGUAUGCAAGUAGCGCCACAUUUAAUAAAUCUUUGUUUCUGUCUGACCAAAGAGGGCAGGCCUGGCGCAGUGGUGAAGUCCUCCCCACUUGUGCCAAGAGGUCCUGGGUUCGAACCAGCCUCUCUGCAUUGCACUUUGCAGGGGUAAGACUAGGUUCCUAUAAUCCCUCCCCAGACCCCACCUUGUGUGUGAGCUUCUAUGCACUGGGUCUGUCCUUUUUCCGUCUGACCAAAUCCUUUGGUUUGUAUUGAUCAGUGUAUACAUGUCCUUGCCCUGAGUGCAUGUACCACUCUUAUAUUGUAAAUUCCCAAAGAGACAAUUGAUGACGGCACCUUAGAUUACAAAUUGAUAAUGUACAAUUAGUUAAGUGAAAUCGGUUCUGGCUCUCCAUGUUUCAUGGGGUGAAGCACAAUAUGUGUAAAGCCCUAUCGAGUUUUACCAUCUGAGCCACUUAGUACUGCGAUACAGUGGAGAUUCCAGCAAUCCUACAGUCCGUGGAUAACUGCUAUUCAGUAGGUUAAUAGCGUGCCCCCCUUUUUAAAAAACCAUUUUAUUUGUUUUUAGUAACUUUAUUCCUUUUUGUAAUAUAUUUUGAGCUCUUCUUUAGAUAGCUAAUUCUUUGGUCUCAUUUAUUUGCUGUUUCUAUGAGUGUUUGUCCUCAUAUUUAGGUGAAAAUCUGAGUUGAAGAGGCGUGGGUCUAUCAUAAGGACCUGGUGAUUUUCAGGAAUGGAUAUGCGGAUCAUACAUGUUAUGAAUCUACAUAACCUACCGAGUAUGCCUCUUUUUCGAUUCUAUUGUCGCCAUAAAGAAAAGCCUCCUUUUUCAAUUCUUUGUGAAAUUAAAAAAUAAGUACAUAUGAGAAAGGAUGGUGUAAUAUCAAUAUAAUUUGCAUAAUUAAAUGUUAAGAUGAGAACGACUAAACAUUCAGUGUCUCCAAACUGGAUAAGUCUGCAUGCACACAUAGUAAGUUAAAUCCAUGUUCUCAUGGACUCUUAAAGUAAACACAAUUGUAUGCUAAUGCAGACUACUUCCAUGUUCUCAUGGCUUGAAGGGGAGCCUUGGCGCAGUGGUAAAGCUGCUGCCUUGUGACCAUGAGGUCAUGGGUUCAAGUCCUGGAAUAAGCCUCUUACAGAAAUGUAGGGAAAGGGUGCGUACUAUAGACCCAAAGUGGUCGGACCCUUCCCUGGACCCUGCGCAAGCGGGAGCUACAUGCACCAGGUUGCCCUUUUUUGCAGCCAAGGGGAUUAAGUUUGUAGUUUAGCACUUGCUAAUGCGUCAUCCUAGCCUGUGUUCCUUCCAGGUGCUUUCCUAAUCCUCUUGUCUUCUGUUGAUUCUUUUCUCUUAUUUUUGCAUUCUGUCCUUUUAUUUUUCGUUUUUUCCUUUAGAUUUUGAAUCCAUUCUCACUAAAAGUUGAAUGUGAAUAAUAUACUUUCCCUGCUAGGCAAACUUUAAUAGAAAACUAAUUGUGUUUAUAGAUGCAUAUGUGGCAUUAUAGCACCAAGCUGUUGGUGCAUGUCCGUUCAAACAUAAAAAAAGAACCUUCUUUCUUAGCUGAGAAUACCUCGUCAUUGGUACCAUCAAUGCUAAAAUGGUCAUGAUUUUUGUCAUGUCCUGCCAGUAAGGUAAGGUAGAAUACCAUAUAGUUUAAAAUAUAAAAUUGGACAUUUGUUUUUCUUAAAACAAAAAUUUAAAGUUUUGACAUGUGUAAAUUAUUUUUGCAGGUACAUGCAUUUAUUGGGUCCAAUAAUCACCCUGGUUAUCGAUAAACGAUUAGAAACAUUGGAUUUGGGGUAUUGCAAAAAUAGUUUAAAGUUCUCACCUUUGAUACUUGAAUAAAAUUGGAAGUGACAGUCAUGAUUGUUUUUUGUGCCAAACUUCCAUUUACCAUAUUUGCUAAAAUAUAUCCCCGUAGAGUGAUCCCUACCUUCUCACCACUGAAAGAAUUUGACCAUGUAAAAGUAAUGUAGAAAGUCAUACAUAAUUCUGAAAUUGCUUACAUAAUUGAAAUAACUUACAAUAGCAAAAGGACUUGCAUCUCGCAGAUGUUUGAAGUUUGCUCUCUGCUUGUCCGUCUGUUCUUCUGUACUUCCUCAAUUGGUUUCAUCAUGGUAAGCAACCCAAUCCAUUGAUCCAUGAUUAGUAACGAAUUCAUCAAUGCCAUAUACAGGAACCGUGCAAAUUAUCUGAAUUGGUGCAGGUGGUACAUGCUGGAGAUAAUUUGAUGCACAUAUUACUUACUGGAGGUGGUGUGAUUGCUUGACGGAGCCGAUAACAGUCGAGGAGAGUCAACAGAGGAAACUGGGGCACUUGCAACUAUUGGAGGAAGGUGAUGUCCAAGUGCCGAUCGCUGGAGGAAGACGAUGACGAAGGUGGGCUCUGAAGGUGGGAUCCGACUUGUGGGGCGUGCUGAAACUGACUUGAUGCUAGCUUGUCAGCUAGUUUCAUCGCCCUGGCACCAUUGCUAACGUGAUUGCCAGAGUUCAUAAAUCACAACAUUACCUUCUCGCGGUAUCGCCUCGCCCUGAUUGCUCAAGGUAGUAGCCGCCUGCCUGGGACAACAAAUCAAUCUAAAGUUAGACUUUGUUCCCUUGGUGUUUUGGCAGCAAAAUAUCAUCAACCUCUUGGUUGUGAUGCUUUAAUUGUAAGUUACACUGCAUAUGUAGAGGCAACCUUCCAUUAUUAAUCUAUAAUUAUAAUAGUAACUUUGCACAUA